GCGGGUAUGGUAUAUUGGUUGUUGCCUCAGCCUUCCAAGCUGAAGAAGUUCGGUUCGAUUCCGACUACCCGCUC
rnacentral:tRNA from 1 species